rnacentral:rRNA from 1 species
UACAGAGGGGGCAAGCGUUGUUCGGAAUUACUGGGCGUAAAGCGUGCGCAGGCGGUUUUGUAAGUCUGUCGUGAAAUCCCCGGGCUCAACCUGGGAAUUGCGAUGGAGACUGCAAGGCUAGAAUCUGGCAGAGGGGGGUAGAAUUCCACGUGUGAGCAGUGAAAUGCGUAGAUAUAGUGGGAGGAAUACCGAUGGCGAAGGCAGCCCCCUGGGAUAACAC